AACCCUCAUAUUCAAUUUGAUUUUUUUUAGAAUGCAACUCUAACCCCCUUUCUCCUCUCCUCUAUCCUUUCUCCUCUCCUUUUCUGUGAAGGAAUCCUCUGGUCUUAUCCGUCGUCGGUAGUACCUCCAAGCAUCCCAAACGACGACGGCGCGUCUCCAAUUCUCCAUCAGAGAAAGCGGAGAAGGCAUGGAAGUAUUGGCAUCCCUCUGGUCAAAGAAAACCUCCACAGUUCCCGCAAAUUUCACUUCUUGUUCUUGUUGUUCUCCCUGAUUAGGAGCGUUUUUUCUGUAGAAUCCAAGGAGUGUGGCCAUGUGAGGCAUGAGGGUUCUCCUCUCCAUAAGGUACUUCUUGAUGAAGAACCUGAGCAGCCCAGCGUACCCCCGCGGCAGCAUCAUUAACUCGGCAAAGGAUUCGGCGAGGAGAGCGACGGUGGUGUCAGUCUCGUCGGGGCGCAUCACACGGACCCACAUGGAGCCAGAUUUGAGGUCCUCCGAGUAGACGAAGGAUUCCAUGAAGUGGAGGCAGUUGAGCUCGUCGUUGGUGAGGAAACGACCUGUGCGGAAGGGGUCGUCUAGGUACAGAGAGGAGAUUGGCGGCGGUGGUGGUGGUGGUGAUGUUGUUGAGGAGUGAGAAUGGAAGGUGGCUAGACCAGCGGCGAUGAGGUGGCUGUUCUUGAAGGUGGUGCUUCAGAGGCUGCAGUGAUGACCUUAAAGAAGAAUGAGAAGAUGGAGUCACGAGGGAUAACAAUGAAGCCUAGUGAUUUACAUUAGGGUUAAUGUUGGAAUUAUUGAAUUAGAAUGGGAAUAAUUUAGGUACAAAUUAUAAUUAAAAUUUCUGUCCCCGUCUUUAAAAUUUUCUAUCUUCAGUGUCCCUACUAUUUGGAGGUACUGAAAUACUGAAAUUUUGAAGACGGAGACAAAAAUUUAAGUACUAGUCUCUAGCUCAACAAACAUAAUACUGAGUCUC